GACCGUGUGGCCUAAUGGAUAAGGCGUCGGACUUCUGAUCCGACGAUUGCAGGUUCAAGUCCUGUCACGGUCG
rfam:Anopheles darlingi Cont1798, whole genome shotgun sequence.